rnacentral:rRNA from 1 species
UACGUAGGGUCCGAGCGUUUGUUCGGAAUUACUGGGCGUAAGGCGCACGUAGGCGGAUUUGUUAGUCAGGGGUGAAAUCCCGGGGCUCAACCUCGGAACUGCCUUUGAUACUGCAAGUCUCGAGUCCGAUAGAGGUGGGUGGAAUUCCUAGUGUAGAGGUGAAAUUCGUAGAUAUUAGGAAGAACACCGGUGGCGAAGGCGGCCCACUGGAUCGGUACUGACGCUGAGGUGCGAAAGCGUGGGGAGCAAACAGG